GAUGAAGAACGCAGCGAAAUGCGAUAAGUAAUGUGAAUUGCAGAAUUCAGUGAAUCAUCGAAUCUUUGAACGCACAUUGCGCCCGCCAGUAUUCUGGCGGGCAUGCCUGUUCGAGCGUCAUUACAACCCUCAGGCCCCCGGGCCUGGCGUUGGGGAUCGGCGGAGCCCCCCGUGGGCACACGCCGUCCCCCAAAUACAGUGGCGGUCCCGCCGCAGCUUCCAUCGCGUAGUAGCUAACACCUCGCGACUGGAGAGCGGCGCGGCCACGCCGUAAAACACCCAACUCUUCUGAAGUUGACCUCGAAUCAGGUAGGAUUACCCGCUGAACUUAAGCAUAUCAAUAAGCGGAGGA
rnacentral:misc_RNA from 1 species